AGAAAAGCAGUUUUGACAUCAAACUGUAACAUUUCUAGUUCAUGUUGACAUACUUCUGAAAGUAGAAUUCGCAAAGAAUCAUAUCUCACAGUCGGAGAAAAUGUUUCUGUAUAAUCAAUUAGGUAAUUCUGUGAACAUCCUUUUGCACAGAGUCUAGAUUUAUAGACUGCACCAGAUGGCUCGUCCUUUAUACGAAAAAUCCACUUACAGCCAAUUACCUUUGAACCUUGUGGUUUCUCUACCAAUGUCCAUGUCUCAUUUUGCUCAUGUGCUUUUAAUUCCUCUUCUAUUGAAUGUUGCCAUUUAUCUUUAUUUCUAGAUGAUAUAGCUUCAGAGUAUGUCUGUGGUACAUUUUCAUUAUCGGGAACUUCACCUGUACAGAGGAUUAUAUAUAGAGCUUUCAUCAGAAUGAAAUGAAUCAUCACUGCUUGUUACUGUACUUAUAUUAUUUGAUUGAGAACUAUCAGAUGAAGUUUCAUACAUCUCUGUGCUGUCCAUUAAAGGCUCUGUUUCAUUA